rnacentral:rRNA from 1 species
CUUAGCGGCGGACGGGUGAGUAACGCGUGGGGAACCUGCCCUGUACAGGGGGAUAACACUUAGAAAUAGGUGCUAAUACCGCAUAAGCGCACAGUAUCGCAUGAUACAGUGUGAAAAACUCCGGUGGUACAGGAUGGACCCGCGUCUGAUUAGCUGGUUGGCGGGGUAACGGCCCACCAAGGCGACGAUCAGUAGCCGGCCUGAGAGGGUGAACGGCCACAUUGGGACUGAGACACGGCCCAAACUCCUACGGAAGGCAGCAG